CACUGGACCCAUGUCUGCGUUUGUCUCAUGAAUCUCUGAAGGAGUCUUUGAUGGCCAGCAGGCCGGAGGCCAGGCGGAGUCCGCUCACCUUGCUGUGCCACUCCUGCGACCGACCCCUGGAAGAUAAAACACAGAGGAGGUGUGUCAGCGGGAAAAAGGUGGGACACAGGUCUUCACUAACAGACAAGAGACAUAUGAAGAAGAUGAAUCAGAUCCAGAAGUCAUGUGACCUGUGAGAGCAGAGAGCUUCGGAAAACUGUCAUCCAGCACGGAAAAAUGAGGAAGAAAAAGCACUUUUGAGCACCUCAAUGAGCAACCUGCCCUGUAUACUUUCAGAUAAACAGGCACAGGUGAAUUGUUGGUUAUUAGGGGUUAAAAUGGUACCUACAGAGACUGCAAAGCUACCAAAUUGGAUCGAUUAUUAAAAAACUGUAAGAUUUUUGAGAGACUUUGGUCUUUCUUACGAAAAAGUUGAGGCUACUUUAGUUUUACCUAAUUUUAUCACAACAGCAUUAAUGUCGUCACCUCAUAGAAUGCUAAGGAGGACAAAACGAUGCUCGGUUUUAUGUUUAAGGACACACAGGACGAGACGUGUCAGAAAAUCUACUCCAGGCAAGAUAUCAAAUAAACGAUUUGCAGUAAAUGAGCUAAAAGCUGCAAAACAAGCUGCUUAGGAGAGGAACAGCUCAGAGAAAUCUCCCAGUUCUUCUGAUCUUCAUCUUCUUUCAUUUUAGGCCAAAACCAAAGCAACACACACACACACACACACACACACACACACACACACACACACACACACACACACACACACACAGGCAGAGUGGACUCCACACCUCCAGCUCUUUAUGUAACUGCUGUUAAAACUUACAUAACUCUGACAAUGUGGGUCAGACGCCUCACGCCCUCCGUCUCUUUCCAUAUUGAGAUUGUGUGACUCCUCAUAGUUAGUGAAACGUCUGAUGUCAGUUUUUAAAAGGCGCUUAGAAGAAGCGAUGAGGUAACCGAUGCCCGCUGAUGCCCAGAAACACAUUUUAAGACCGUUUUCU